rnacentral:rRNA from 1 species
UAGGGAAUCUUCCACAAUGGGCGGAAGCCUGAUGGAGCAACGCCGCGUGUGCGAUGAAGGGUUUCGGCUCGUAAAACACUGUUGUAAGAGAAGAAUGACAUUGAGAGUAACUGUUCAAUGUGUGACGGUAUCUUACCAGAAAGGAACGGCUAAAUACGUGCCAG